UGGGGAAUAUUGCACAAUGGGCGCAAGCCUGAUGCAGCCAUGCCGCGUGUAUGAAGAAGGCCUUCGGGUUGUAAAGUACUUUCAGUCGGGAGGAAGGUGGUAAGGUUAAUAACCUUAUCAAUUGACGUUACCGACAGAAGAAGCACCGGCUAACUCCGUGCCAGCAGCCGCGGUAAUACGGAGGGUGCAAGCGUUAAUCGGAAUUACUGGGCGUAAAGCGCACGCAGGCGGUUGAUUGAGUCAGAUGUGAAAUCCCCGGGCUUAACCCGGGAAUUGCAUCUGAUACUGGUCAGCUAGAGUCUUGUAGAGGGGGGUAGAAUUCCAUGUGUAGCGGUGAAAUGCGUAGAGAUGUGGAGGAAUACCGGUGGCAAAGGCGGCCCCCUGGACAAAGACUGACGCUCAGGUGCGAAAGCGUGGGGAGCAAACAGG
rnacentral:rRNA from 1 species